CAGAGCGAAAUUUGAACAAUGAAAGAGAAUGAAAACGAAACAACGCGAAAAAAAAGAACUCCCUCGAAGUUCAGAUAUUGACAAUCGCCGAUCAAAGUUUUCUCCGGCGAAGAAAACCUCAAAGAAGGCAAGUGGUUUUAAUAACCAGUAAUUUAUUAUUCGUAUCCCCAUUGUUUCCUCUGGAUUGCGAGCUCAAUUCCCCCCCUCUGUUUCCGUUUUCGUUGUCAUCGCAGAUUGAUCAUAAAAAGGUUUACCAAAUCGUUCGUUUCACUGACUGGAGAUGUUUUGCCUAAAAUUUCAUUGAUUUCUCUUCGAUUUCUAUCAUUUCAGGUGCCAAUUUAAACGGUGAAACCUCACAGUAGCGGGCUUGCUGUUUUCCUAGUAUUUGGUGAUAUAUAUUCAAGAAUCACUUGCAUUUUCACUGGACUCCCGCCAACUUGAAGAGAAAUUAGGCAGCAGAAACAGUCAUUUCAGACUUGGUUAACUCAAAAUCAUGU